AUUGAACGCUGGCGGAAUGCUUUACACAUGCAAGUCGAACGGCAGCACGGACUUCGGUCUGGUGGCGAGUGGCGAACGGGUGAGUAAUACACCGGAACGUACCUUAUCGUGGGGGAUAACGCAGCGAAAGUUGCGCUAAUACCGCAUACGCCCUGAGGGGGAAAGCGGGGGACCGUAAGGCCUCGCGCGAUUAGAGCGGCCGAUGUCUGAUUAGCUUGUUGGUGAGGUAAAAGCUCACCAAGGCGAUGAUCAGUAGCUGGUCUGAGAGGACGAUCAGCCACACUGGGACUGAGACACGGCCCAGACUCCUACGGGAGGCAGCAGUGGGGAAUUUUGGACAAUGGGGGCAACCCUGAUCCAGCAAUGCCGCGUGAGUGAAGAAGGCCUUCGGGUUGUAAAGCUCUUUUGUCAGGGAAGAAACAGCAGCUCUAACACAGUCUGCGAAUGACGGUACCUGAAGAAUAAGCACCGGCUAACUACGUGCCAGCAGCCGCGGUAA
rnacentral:rRNA from 1 species